GACGAACGCUGGCGGCGUGCUUAACACAUGCAAGUCGAGCGGAAAGGCCCUUCGGGGUACGUCGAGCGGCGAACGGGUGAGUAACACGUGAGUAACCUGCCCUUGGCUCUGGGAUAAGCCCGGGAAACUGGGUCUAAUACCGGAUAUGACCACUGACUGCAUGGUUGGUGGUGGAAAGUUUUUUCGGACUGGGGAUGGACUCGCGGUCUAUCAGCUUGUUGGUGGGUGAUGGCCUACCAAGGCGACGACGAUAGCCGCCUGAGAGGUGACCGGCCACACUGGGACUGAGACACGGCCCAGACUCCUACGGGAGGCAGCAGUGGGGAAUAUUG
rnacentral:rRNA from 1 species